rnacentral:rRNA from 1 species
AGAGUUUGAUCCUGGCUCGAGAACGAACGCUGGCGGCGCGUCUUAAGCAUGCAAGUCGGGCGGCAAGGAUGUGCUUGCACAUCCCUAGAGCGGCGGACUGGUGAGUAACGCGUGGGUGACGCACCCCCGGACGGGGAUAGCCUGUGGAAACACAGGGGUAAUACCCGGGAUACGGUUCCGUGAGCUGGAGUCACGGAAGGAAAGGAGCUUCGGCUCCGCCGGGGGAGCGGCCCUGCGGCCCAUCAGCUUGUUGGCGGGGUAAAGGCCCACCAAGGCGACGACGGGUACCCGGCCUGAGAGGGCGACCGGGCACAUUGGGACUGAGAUACGGCCCCAGACUCCUACGGGAGGCAGCAGCUAAGAAUAUUCCGCAAUGCGCGAAAGCGUGACGGAGCGACGCCGCGUGGACGAUGAAGGCCGGAAGGUUGCAGAGUCCUUUGGCACGCGAGGAAGGAGCGGGGAGGAAAUGAUCCCGCGGUGACUGUAGCGUGAGAACAAGCACCGGCUAAUUACGUGCC